rnacentral:rRNA from 1 species
UACGUAGGGUGCGAGCGUUAAUCGGAAUUACUGGGCGUAAAGCGUGCGCAGGCGGUUUUGUAAGCCAGAUGUGAAAUCCCCGGGCUUAACCUGGGAAUGGCAUUUGGGACUGCAAGGCUUGAGUGCGGCAGAGGAGACUGGAAUUCCUGGUGUAGCAGUGAAAUGCGUAGAUAUCAGGAGGAACACCGGUGGCGAAGGCGGCCAACUGGACGAACACUGACGCUGAGACUCGAAAGCGUGGGGAGCAAACAGG